rnacentral:rRNA from 1 species
UAGGGAAUCUUCCGCAAUGGACGCAAGUCUGACGGAGCAACGCCGCGUGAGUGAAGAAGGUUUUCGGAUCGUAAAACUCUGUUGUAAGAGAAGAACAAAUUGUAGAGUAACUGCUACAGUCUUGACGGUAUCUUACCAGAAAGCCACGGCUAACUACGUGCCAGCAGCCGCGGUAAUACGUAGGUGGCAAGCGUUGUCCGGAUUUAUUGGGCGUAAAGGGGGCGCAGGCUGCUUCUUAAGUCUGAUGUGAAAGCCCACGGCUUAACCGUGGAAGUGCAUUGGAAACUGGGAAGCUUGAGUACAGAAGAGGAAAGUGGAACUCCAUGUGUAGCGGUGGAAUGCGUAGAUAUAUGGAAGAACACCAGUGGCGAAGGCGGCUAUCUGGACAGUAACUGACGCUGAGGCGCGAAAGCGUGGGGAGCAAACAGG